rnacentral:sRNA from 1 species
AUUGAAACUAUUUUAGUAAGAUUCGAACCGACAAGAGGUUCGAGCCGAGCACCGCGAGACAACGUUGCUUCAGCAACGACCCGUAGGGCGAGCAUGAUAAUGCGAGUCAUCCUCUCUCGCCGACCA